GGGCCCGUAGCUCAGGUGGUAGAGCACCGCGUUUACACCGCGGUUGUCGUCGGUUCGAGCCCGGCCGGGCCCA
rnacentral:tRNA from 1 species